GGGCCCGCACAAGCGGUGGAGUAUGUGGUUUAAUUCGAUGCAACGCGAAGAACCUUACCAGGGUUUGACAUCCUGCGAAUCUCUUGGAAACAGGAGAGUGCCUUCGGGAACGCAGUGACAGGUGGUGCAUGGCUGUCGUCAGCUCGUGUCGUGAGAUGUUGGGUUAAGUCCCGCAACGAGCGCAACCCACGUCUUUAGUUGCCAUCAGUUAGGCUGGGCACUCUAGAGAAACUGCCUGGGAUGACCAGGAGGAAGGUGUGGAUGACGUCAAGUCAUCAUGCCCCUUACAUCCUGGGCUACACACGUACUACAAUGCUACGGACAAAGGGCAGCAAGUUCGCGAGGACAAGCAAAUCCCAUAAACCGUGGCUCAGUUCAGAUCGUAGGCUGCAACUCGCCUACGUGAAGGCGGAAUCGCUAGUAAUCGC
rnacentral:rRNA from 1 species